CCUACGGGUGACAGCAGUAGGGAAUUUUGCGCAAUGGGCGAAAGCCUGAAGCAGCAACGCCGCGUGAUUGAUUAAGCUCUUCGGGGUGUAAAGAUCUGUCAGUGGGGACGAAACUUGACGGUACCCACAGAGGAAGCACCGGCUAACUCCGAGCCGGCAGCCGCGGUAAUACGGAGGGUGCACGCGUUGUCCGGACUCAUUGGGCGUAAAGAGUUCGUAGGUGGCAUAUUAAGUCUGGUGUUAAAUGCAGAUGCGCAACUGCUGUUGGGCACUGGAUACUGGUAAGCUUGAUUGCGGUAGAGGUAAAGGGAAUUCCUGGUGUAGCGGUGAAAUGCGUAGAUAUCAGGAGGAACAUCGGUGGCGAAAGCGCUUUACUGGUCCGUAAUUGACACUGAGGAACGAAAGCCGGGGUAGCAAAUGGGAUUAGAUACCCUAGUAGUC
rnacentral:rRNA from 1 species